rnacentral:rRNA from 1 species
UACGUAGGGGGCAAGCGUUGUCCGGAUUUAUUGGGCGUAAAGAGCGUGUAGGCGGCCAUGUAGGUCCGUUGUGAAAACUCGAGGCUCAACCUCGAGACGCCGAUGGAAACCAUGUGGCUAGAGUCCGGAAGAGGAGGAGUGGAAUUCCUGGUGUAGCGGUGAAAUGCGCAGAUAUCAGGAAGAACACCCGUGGCUAAGGCGGCUCUCUAGUACGGUACUGACGCUGAGACGCGAAAGCGUGGGGAGCGAACAGGG